CUUUUUGUCACCCUCUCUCCCAAUGACAACUUCAGGUACAGAGGACACAGUUUGAUCCCUCACCAUAGUUGUAUAACCCCUCACCCCAGUUUGAACCUCUAAUGUAAAUUGUUUAUCAGCUUCAAUAUCAGCUAGUCUCUCCCUAAUAGCCUUUAUUUUAUGGCCCAUCUUAAAACCAUAAACAAGCUGAUUCGAAGACGAAAAGAAAAGGC
rnacentral:misc_RNA from 1 species